GAUGAACGCUGGCGGCGUGCCUAAUACAUGCAAGUCGAGCGAACAGAUGAGGAGCUUGCUCCUCUGACGUUAGCGGCGGACGGGUGAGUAACACGUGGAUAACCUACCUAUAAGACUGGGAUAACUUCGGGAAACCGGAGCUAAUACCGGAGAAUAUAUUGAACCGCAGGGUUCAAUAGUGAAAGACGGUUUUGCUGUCACUUAUAGAUGGAUCCGCGCCGCAUUAGCUAGUUGGUAAGGUAACGGCUUACCAAGGCAACGAUGCGUAGCCGACCUGAGAGGGUGAUCGGCCACACUGGAACUGAGACACGGUCCAGACUCCUACGGGAGGCAGCAGUAGGGAAUCUUCCGCAAUGGGCGAAAGCCUGACGGAGCAACGCCGCGUGAGUGAUGAAGGUCUUCGGAUCGUAAAGCUCUGUUAUUAGGGAAGAACAAAUGUGUAAGUAACUAUGCACGUCUUGACGGUACCUAAUCAGAAAGCCACGGCUAACUACGUG
rnacentral:rRNA from 1 species